UACGUAGGGGGCAAGCGUUGUCCGGAUUUAUUGGGCGUAAAGAGCGUGUAGGCGGCCAGGUAGGUCCGUUGUGAAAACUCGAGGCUCAACCUCGAGACGCCGAUGGAAACCAUCUGGCUAGAGUCCGGAAGAGGAGAGUGGAAUUCCCGGUGUAGAGGUGAAAUUCGUAGAUAUCGGGAGGAACACCGGUGGCGAAGGCAGCGCCCUGGCCGCCAUCUGACGCUCAGGCACGAAAGCUGGGGGAGCGGAACAGGAU
rnacentral:rRNA from 1 species